CUCUUUCCCCAAACGAGCUUUGAUCUGGUUCUUAAACUGCUAUUGCUUUUUUGGUCUGUCUUUGUCUUUUAUGAUUUUUUUGAUUUGUUUUACCUCUGUUUUAAUUCAGAAUUCGAGUCAGAGCAGCUUCAUGCAAACUGCCUUGGGAAUUUCUAUUUGAAAGGCUGGAGAUCUCAGAAGAGGGUGGAUUGCCACUCUGUUGAAGGUCUCUUUAACCAGAGACAUUCUGUAUUGGAAAGACAGGAACACAGUGAGUAUCUUUGUUUUGGGGGGGGGGUAGCUUUGAAAAUGAGAAAACCCUGACAGUGUGCUAAAGUAAUGAUUAAUACGGACGGCAUUCUGCUUCUAAAAGCCAUAAGAUCUUUAAUAUCAACACAAUAUAUGAGACUUCACUUGAAGCUCUUAUCUGAAGGAUGACAUUGAGGGUGCUAUUUCAUCUUCCGUCUGUGGAAGGGAACCAGGAGGAGAAUCAUUUCUGAGGUCCCUUUGCUUCGCCAUAAAGCUUGUACAUACAUAUGAACCAGAUCCUGAUUCUCACUACCACCUUUCUUUGAGAUAAUAUCCAUUUGAACUGG
rnacentral:lncRNA from 1 species